rnacentral:rRNA from 1 species
GGAAUUGUUCGCAAUGGGCGCAAGCCUGACGACGCAACGCCGCGUGGAGGACGAAGAUCUUCGGGUCGUAAACUCCUGUCGAGCGGGAAGAAACCCGCGGGGAUGAAUAAUCCCUGCGGCUGACGGUACCGCUAAAGGAAGCCCCGGCUAACUCUGUGCCAGCAGCCGCGGUAAUACAGAGGGGGCUAGCGUUGUUCGGAAUUACUGGGCGUAAAGGGCGCGUAGGUGGCCUGCUAAGUCGAACGUGAAAUCCCCGGGCUCAACCCGGGAACUGCGUCCGAGACUGGCAGGCUCGAAUCCGGGAGAGGGAUGUGGAAUUCCAGGUGUAGCGGUGAAAUGCGUAGAUAUCUGGAGGAACACCGGUGGCGAAGGCGGCAUCCUGGACCGGUAUUGACGCUGAGGCGCGAAAGCCAGGGGAGCAAA